UAGCGUGUAGCUCAGUUGGCAGAGCAUUGGGCUAGUAUUCCAAAGGUCGUAGGUUCGAUUCCCACCGUGGUCA